rnacentral:rRNA from 1 species
ACUCCUACGGGAGGCAGCAGUGGGGAAUAUUGCACAAUGGGCGAAAGCCUGAUGCAGCCAUGCCGCGUGUGUGAAGAAGGCCUUCGGGUUGUAAAGCACUUUCAGCGAGGAGGAAAGGUUGACGGUUAAUACCCGUCAGCUGUGACGUUACUCGCAGAAGAAGCACCGGCUAACUCCGUGCCAGCAGCCGCGGUAAUACGGAGGGUGCGAGCGUUAAUCGGAAUUACUGGGCGUAAAGCGCAUGCAGGCGGCCAAGUCAGUCAGAUGUGAAACGCCCCGGGCUUAACCUGGGAAUUGCAUUUGAAACUGCUUGGCUAGAGUCCUUGAGAGGGGGUUAGAAUUUCAGGUGUAGCGGUGAAAUGCGUAGAGAUCUGAAGGAAUACCAGUGGCGAAGGCGGCCCCCUGGCAAGAGACUGACGCUCAGAUGCGAAAGCGUGGGAGCAAACAGGAUUAGAUACCCCGU